rnacentral:lncRNA from 10 species
GAGUUUUAGCCAAUUCAGAUGCUUUGUUCCCCACAAUUUGGAACAUUCCUUUGGAUGUGACCAAGUCAGGAAAAGAUGGUCAUACUUCAUGGGAGAAAUGUGAAACAACAAAACCCCAAACAUAAACAAAAACAGUUUAGCAAAACAAACAAAUUCAUAUGAAUACCAAGUGUUCUAACAGUAAGGAGAAAUUAAAACCAGCUGGUUGGUAAUCUUAACUUUUAGUCAUUAAGGAACAUUUUUAAGACAAAACUCUAAUUCAGCUACUUACCUGGAAAUAAAGCUCAGGCUGAUGAUCGCUCUCUACCAUCAUAGAGAGGCAGGAAAAAACUCACACUCACCUUCUCUGUCAGAAGCAAGUUGAAACUCAAGAAAGAAGGUGCCUGCUCUCCAUCGUCAUGGAAGCAGGAAAACUUGCCUUCCUUGUUGGAAAUGAGUAAAACUUCAGAAAAGGAGUUGUACAGCAAAAUAACUUCAAAUAGCAACCAAAUUUUGGGAGAUCAGGGACUCUCUGGAGGGGAGAAGCUCCCCAAGCUCCACAAAUUAGCCUAUUGGCUUGAGAAAUAAAGAUAACCCAGGGCUGCUGUGGCAUGCUGGGAGUCCACUUCAGUCCCUAGCUGCCUCAGAUUUUCCAGUGCCUGAUGCUAUCACCAGUGAAGCCUGCGAAAAGGCAAAGACGACAGCCUGCCCCUUCCUCUGGGAGUUCUGUACCACUGAGGUACGAACCUGUUGCCAAUUUGAACACACCUAUAGGAGGUGGCUGGAGGCAAGUUGAGAA